rnacentral:tRNA from 1 species
GAAAUCUUAGUCUAAUAAAAGACAGCUGAUUUCGACUCAGCAGAUUGUGGUGCAACCCCAUAAUAUUUC